GUGUUUGUAAACAGGGGAGUUGGUUGGCAUCUCCCCCGAUAGGGAUGGAUGGGGAAAUAACCUUAAGAAUGGGGUGCACUAGAUGGUACAGUUUCU
rnacentral:ncRNA from 1 species